GAGUUUGAUCGUGGCUCAGAGCGAACGCUGGCGGCAGGCUUAACACAUGCAAGUCUAACGGGUGUAGCAAUACAUCAGUGGCAGACGGGUGAGUAACACGUGGGAACCUUCCUCGUUGUACGGAACAACUCAGGGAAACUUGAGCUAAUACCGUAUACGUCCGAGAGGAGAAAGAUUUAUCGCAAUGAGACGGGCCCGCGUCGGAUUAGCUAGUUGGUGGGGUAACGGCCUACCAAGGCGACGAUCCGUAGCUGAUCUGAGAGGAUGAUCAGCCACACUGGGACUGAGACACGGCCCAGACUCCUACGGGAGGCAGCAGUGGGGAAUCUUGGACAAUGGGCGCAAGCCUGAUCCAGCCAUGCCGCGUGAGUGAAGAAGGCCUUAGGGUUGUAAAGCUCUUUUGCCAGGGACGAUAAUGACGGUACCUGGAGAAUAAGCCCCGGCAAACUUCGUGCCAGCAGCCGCCGUAAC
rnacentral:rRNA from 1 species